GUAAGAUCAGUAAUAGAUUGAAAUAUUUAUUAUCCUUCCUAAUUCUUUCUUUCUCAACAAUUUUACCUCAAGUUGUAAUAGCACUCUAUAACGUAGAGGAAAAUGUCAUUUGUUGUUGUCACUUUGUCCAUUGUAUUUAUGUUUAGCAUGUUUCCUGUUGAUAUUAGGCCACAGCUCAUGAAACUUCAUCUGGUUACAGCUAAUGCAAUGGAACCGUGUGAAUUAAUCUCAGCAGAAGUGCCACUAAAGAGCCAUAAGACUUAUUAUCCUUAGUGAUGGGUUUCAUUUCUGGAACCAGCCCCCCAUUUGUGUUACGAAGUCUUACACUGGUACUAUUUUGGAAUGGAUCUGCUAAAAAUACUGUGCACAAGAGACUCUUUUCAGGCACCCAGAAAAUCCUGUAUGUCAGUUUGACCCUGACGAGUAAAGAUAAUACACAGACAGAUGUGAAAAUACUUGAACAAAUCAGGUACCUGUGAUUAAAACAGCAUUAAUCAAAGGGACAUAUCUAGGACUUCUUCAAAGAAAACUAAUGCUGAAGUGCUCAUUUUUCUGUUUUGCUUUCCUCUGGCAAGCACAAACAAGUACUUGCAGGAAAAAAAAAAUCAAGAAACUAUUGCUGUAGCAGGAAAAAUGUAAUUGUAGCAGUCAGCUCAGACUGAUAGUCAUUCUAAUUAAAUGGGUGAGACUUAGACAGCUAAGAUGUAUCUUUAAAAUACAAGAAUAUCCACAAUAGCUUCAGUUUGUCUGAAAAAUUAUUUUAUUGUCUCAGCAUCCAAUUCAACAUGCUUGGUUUGUUAAUGUUCAUAUUGUUAUUUCUUAUCAUGUAAAGUAAGUGUAAUUGAGAGAUAAUCCCUGUAAUGUAGUAUAUUUCUAAACCCAACAGUAUUCCAUUCACACUGCAGUGAAUAUUCGAAAAGUACAUAUUAAUUUUGAGAGGGAAAAAGAAUCCAAUAAAUCUAAAAAGUAAAGGAGUAAUAGAUGUGAU
rnacentral:lncRNA from 1 species